GAUGAACGCUGGCGGCGUGCCUAAUACAUGCCAGUCGAGCGAACAGACGAGGAGCUUGCUCCUCUGACGUUAGCGGCGGACGGGUGAGUAACACGUGGAUAACCUACCUAUAAGACUGGGAUAACUUCGGGAAACCGGAGCUAAUACCGGAUAAUAUAUUGAACCGCAUGGUUCAAUAGUGAAAGACGGUUUUGCUGUCACUUAUAGAUGGAUCCGCGCCGCAUUAGCUAGUUGGUAAGGUAACGGCUUACCAGGGCAACGAUGCGUAGCCGACCUGAGAGGGUGAUCGGCCACACGGGAACUGAGACACGGUCCAGACUCCUACGGGAGGCAGCAGUAGGGAAUCUUCCGCAAUGGGCGAAAGCCUGACGGAGCAACGCCGCGUGAGUGAUGAAGGUCUUCGGAUCGUAAAACUCUGUUAUUAGGGAAGAACAAAUGUGUAAGUAACUAUGCACGUCUUGACGGUACCUAAUCAGAAAGCCACGGCUAACUACGUG
rnacentral:rRNA from 1 species